AGUGAACGCUGGCGGCGUGCUUAACACAUGCAAGUCGAACGAGGACGGGUUACAGCUUGCUAUAAUUGUCAGCUAAGUGGCGCACGGGUGAGUAAUGUAUAGGUAAUAUGCCUCUUACUAAGGGAUAACAAAUGGAAACGUUUGCUAAUACCUUAUACUCCUUAUUAACAUAAGUUAAUAAGGGAAAGAUUUAUUGGUAAGAGAUUAGCCUGUAUUGUAUCAGUUAGUUGGUGGGGUAAUGGCUUACCAAGACUAUGACACAUAACUGGUUUGAGAGGAUGAUCAGCCACACUGGAACUGAGACACGGUCCAGACUCCUACGGGAGGCAGCAGUGGGGAAUAUUGCACAAUGGACGAAAGUCUGAUGCAGCAACGCCGCGUGGAGGAUGACACAUUUCGGUGCGUAAACUCCUUUUAUAUGAGAAGAUAAUGACGGUAUUAUAUGAAUAAGCACCGGCUAACUCCGUGCCAGCCGCCGCGGUAA
rnacentral:rRNA from 1 species